CGGCUCUCAUGAUGAUCCAAUCACCAUCUUUCGGCUGAUCAUGUGAUGGACUCUUUUUUUUACCUGAGCGAGUUG
ensembl:snoRNA small nucleolar RNA SNORD51